AUAUACAGUGUUACACAGUAGAGUCUGACAGACAGACAGAGAGACAGAGGUGUCAGUGUUACACAGUAGAGUCUGACAGACAGAGAGACAGAGGUGUCAGUGUUACACAGUAGAUACACGCGUGAAGUUAAAACAUCAACUCAUAAAGCCGGGAUUCAAUCAAAGGAGUCGUUAUCGACUAGAAAACAAGGCUUUUCAUUUAAAAAGGUCAUUUCCACUUGACCCGAUAUGUGCAGCGUUUCUGUCUGUAAUGAGCCGAUAUGUUAUGUCCGUUAUGUCUGUAAUGAGCCGAUAUGUUAUGUCCGUUAUGUCUGUAAUGAGCCGAUAUGUUAUGUCCGUUAUGUCUGUAAUGAGCCGAUAUGUUAUGUCCGUUAUGUCUGUAAUGAGCCGAUAUGUUAUGU